AAAAAAGGUAAGCUACUAAGAGCGAAUGGUGGAUGCCUUGACUGGUAAAGGCGAUGAAGGACGUACUAGACUGCGAUAAGCUACGGGGAGCUGUCAAGAAGCUUUGAUCCGUAGAUUUCCGAAUGGGGCAACCCAAUGUAUAGAGAUAUACAUUACCUAUAUAGGAGCGAACGAGGGGAAUUGAAACAUCUUAGUACCCUCAGGAAAAGAAAUCAAUAGAGAUUGCGUCAGUAGCGGCGAGCGAAAGCGCAAGAGGGCAAACCCAGUGCUUGCACUGGGGGUUGUAGGACUGCAAUGUGCAAGAGCUGAGUUUAGCAGAACAUUCUGGAAAGUAUAGCCAUAGAGGGUGAUAGUCCCGUAUGCGAAAAACAAAGCUUAGCUAGCAGUAUCCUGAGUAGGGCGGGACACGAGGAAUCCUGUCUGAAUCCGGGUCGACCACGAUCCAACCCUAAAUACUAAUACCAGAUCGAUAGUGCACAAGUACCGUGAGGGAAAGGUGAAAAGAACUGAGGUGAUCAGAGUGAAAUAGAACCUGAAACCAUUUGCUUACAAUCAUUCAGAGCACUAUGUAGCAAUACAGUGUGAUGGACUGCCUUUUGCAUAAUGAGCCUGCGAGUUGUGGUGUCUGGCAAGGUUAAGCAAACGCGAAGCCGUAGCGAAAGCGAGUCUGAAUAGGGCGCUUAGUCAGAUGCUGCAGACCCGAAACGAAGUGAUCUAUCCAUGAGCAAGUUGAAGCUAGUGUAAGAACUAGUGGAGGACUGAACCCAUAGGCGUUGAAAAGCCCCGGGAUGACUUGUGGAUAGGGGUGAAAGGCCAAUCAAACUUCGUGAUAGCUGGUUCUCUCCGAAAUAUAUUUAGGUAUAGCGUUGUGUCGUAAUAUAAGGGGGUAGAGCACUGAAUGGGCUAGGGCAUACACCAAUGUACCAAACCCUAUCAAACUCCGAAUACCUUAUAUGUAAUCACAGCAGUCAGGCGGCGAGUGAUAAAAUCCGUCGUCAAGAGGGAAACAACCCAGACUACCAGCUAAGGUCCCUAAAUCUUACUUAAGUGGAAAACGAUGUGAAGUUACUUAAACAACCAGGAGGUUGGCUUAGAAGCAGCCAUCCUUUAAAGAAAGCGUAAUAGCUCACUGGUCUAGUGAUUUUGCGCGGAAAAUAUAACGGGGCUAAAGUAAGUACCGAAGCUGUAGACUUGCGCACAACUUAGAUUAUUUAAGUUUAGAAUAUGAGAAACUAAGUUAUGUUUAGUUAUAUUUUUACUGAUUUUUAUAGAGUAAAGAUAGAAAUAAAACUUAGUAAAAUCAGUAAAAAUAUUCUUAGGCUAAAGUUAAGUAGUUUAAGUUGUGUGCAAGUGGUAGGAGAGCGUUCUAUUUGCGUCGAAGGUAUACCGGUAAGGAGUGCUGGAGCGAAUAGAAGUGAGCAUGCAGGCAUGAGUAGCGAUAAUUAAUGUGAGAAUCAUUAACGCCGUAAACCCAAGGUUUCCUACGCGAUGCUCGUCAUCGUAGGGUUAGUCGGGUCCUAAGUCGAGUCCGAAAGGGGUAGACGAUGGCAAAUUGGUUAAUAUUCCAAUACCAACAUUAGUGUGCGAUGGAAGGACGCUUAGGGCUAAGGGGGCUAGCGGAUGGAAGUGCUAGUCUAAGGUCGUAGGAGGUUAUACAGGCAAAUCCGUAUAACAAUACUCCGAGAACUGAAAGGCUUUUUGAAGUCUUCGGAUGGAUAGAAGAACCCCUGAUGCCGUCGAGCCAAGAAAAGUUUCUAAGUUUAGCUAAUGUUGCCCGUACCGUAAACCGACACAGGUGGGUGGGAUGAGUAUUCUAAGGCGCGUGGAAGAACUCUCUUUAAGGAACUCUGCAAAAUAGCACCGUAUCUUCGGUAUAAGGUGUGGUUAGCUUUGUAUUAGGAUUUACUCCGAAAGCAAGGAAACUUACAACAAAGAGUCCCUCCCGACUGUUUACCAAAAACACAGCACUCUGCUAACUCGUAAGAGGAUGUAUAGGGUGUGACGCCUGCCCGGUGCUCGAAGGUUAAUUGAUGGGGUUAGCAUUAGCGAAGCUCUUGAUCGAAGCCCGAGUAAACGGCGGCCGUAACUAUAACGGUCCUAAGGUAGCGAAAUUCCUUGUCGGUUAAAUACCGACCUGCAUGAAUGGCGUAACGAGAUGGGAGCUGUCUCAAAGAGGGAUCCAGUGAAAUUGUAGUGGAGGUGAAAAUUCCUCCUACCCGCGGCAAGACGGAAAGACCCCGUGGACCUUUACUACAGCUUGACACUGCUACUUGGAUAAGAAUGUGCAGGAUAGGUGGGAGGCUUUGAGUAUAUGACGCCAGUUGUAUAUGAGCCAUUGUUGAGAUACCACUCUUUCUUAUUUGGGUAGCUAACCAGCUUGAGUUAUCCUCAAGUGGGACAAUGUCUGGUG
rnacentral:rRNA from 1 species